rnacentral:rRNA from 1 species
CACGUAGGCACCAAGCGUUGUCCGGAUUUAUUGGGCGUAAAGAGCUCGUAGGCGGUUCGAUAAGUCGGGUGUGAAAACUUUGGGCUCAACCCAAAGCGUGCAUUCGAUACUGUUGUGACUAGAGUUCGGUAGGGGAGUGGGGAAUUCCUAGUGUAGCGGUGAAAUGCGCAGAUAUUAGGAGGAACACCGGUGGCGAAGGCGCCACUCUGGACGGUAACUGACGCUGAGACGCGAAAGCGUGGGGAGCAAACAGG